GACGUAGGAUGCAAGCGUUGUCCGGAAUUAUUGGGCGUAAAGAGUUCGUAGGCGGUUGCCUAAGUCUGAUGUUAAAUACUGGAGCUCAACUCCGGCAUGGCAUUGGAAACUGGGCGGCUAGAGUGUGGUAGAGGUCUCGGGAAUUCCAGGUGUAGCGGUGAAAUGCGUAGAUAUCUGGAGGAACACCGGUGGCGAAAGCGCGAGACUGGGCCAUAACUGACGCUGAGGAGCGAAAGCGUGGGGAGCAAACAGG
rnacentral:rRNA from 1 species